rnacentral:rRNA from 1 species
UACGUAGGGCGCAAGCGUUGUCCGGAAUUAUUGGGCGUAAAGAGCUCGUAGGCGGCCUGUUGCGUCCGCUGUGAAAUCCCGGGGCUCAACCCCGGGCCUGCAGUGGAUACGGGCUGGCUAGAGGCAGGCAGGGGAGAACGGAAUUCCUGGUGUAGCGGUGAAAUGCGCAGAUAUCAGGAGGAACACCGGUGGCGAAGGCGACUAUCUGGGCUGAAACUGACGCUGAGGCGCGAAGGCUAGGGGAGCAAACAGG